GUACUUGAUCCCUGACUUUCAGUAUAUAAGUCGGCAUUCAAUAAGCUUGAAUCCACAGACCUACGGAGACUCGUAGCAAUUGGUACCAACCAAUCGCAGUACAGGUGAAUCUAACACUAAGCGUGUCUUUGGAAUGAAGCUGCUGGUGGCUGUUGCCAUGGUGAUAGGUGCUCUCAUAAUGGCACCAACUGAUGCCCUCGCCGGUGCAGGAGGUGUAGGGGGAAAUGAUGGCAUCGGCGGUGUUGGCAAAAAAUGAAUUGAUGAGUAUUCCAUGCCUCGCUAUUCCGCGGUUUCGCCCUAUAAAAACCGUAAUAAAACAAAAUAAACAAAUUAAGAAGUA